rnacentral:tRNA from 1 species
GGAAGGGUGGCAGAGUGGUAAUGCAGCGGCUUGCUAAGCCGUAGGACGGCAACGUUCCGCGGGUUCGAUUCCCGCCCCUUCCGCCA